rnacentral:SRP_RNA from 1 species
GCUGGGCAUGGUGGCGCGUGCCUAUAAUCCCAGCUACCUGGGGGGCUGAGGCAGGAGAAUCGCUUGAACCCGGGAGGUGGAGGUUGCAGUUAGCAGAGAUUGCACCACUGCACUCCAGCCUGGGUGAUAGAGUGAAACUNNNNNNNNNNUCUCUGUUGCCCAGGCUGGAGUGCAGUGGCCCUAUCUUGGCUCACUGCAACCUUCACCUCCUGGGUUCAAGGGAUUCUCCUGCCUCGG